CCAGACCAGCGCUUAAGGCGCUGUAUAGGAGGUCCCCUACUUCAGUACCCAAUCUUCCUCGGCAUGGUUGACGGUUGAUGGGCCCGUUUAAUAGUUUAAUAGGGUUGGCCUUCCUUGGUUACGAACGGUGCCCUCUCCUCUCGGGCUGUCAUGGAUGGACCGACGCUAACAACAAUUGUACAUCUAGUAUGUGCCCCCACUGAAGCGAGAGAAGAGCACAAACGGCAUUCCCUAUUUGGCGCCGCAGGCGUCCGUUACAGGCUAUUUUUCUUAACGGGCGCGUGCAAGGCGCAGCUUCGCUCGGCACCUAGCGAUCGAACCCACAACCGCAUGCUUCACGGCGAGCGCACUAACCACCAG
rnacentral:lncRNA from 1 species